rnacentral:misc_RNA from 1 species
UGUUGCCUUCGCAGAUG